rnacentral:misc_RNA from 1 species
GAUGAAGAACGCAGCGAAAUGCGAUAAGUAGUGUGAAUUGCAGAAUUCAGUGAAUCAUCGAAUCUUUGAACGCACAUUGCGCCCCUCGGUAUUCCGUGGGGCACGCCUGUUCGAGCGUCAUUUACACCCUCAAGCGCAGCUUGGUGUUGGGCGUCUGUCCCGCUCUCCGUAGCGCGGACUCGCCUCAAAGUCAUUGGCGGCGGUCGUGCCGGCUCCUCGCGCAGCACAUUUGCGCUUCUCGGAGGCCCGGCGGAUCGGCGUCCAGCAAGCUACUUUCUAUGACUUGACCUCGGAUCAGGUGAGGAUACCCGCUGAACUUAAGCAUAUCAAUAAGCGGAGGA